CUGCUGGGAAACUUGUCUUUGUUGUUUUCCUUUUUCCAUUUCAUCCUCCUGUUCUGGAACCAGAUUUUGACCUGCCUUUCUGUCAAUCCCAGGGCAUGCGAGACCUCGAUCCUCCGUUUGCGGGUCAGCCCCCUCCCUGCCUCCUCCCCCGCCGAGGACUUGUUCAAGACGUGGUCGGGGAUGAUUGCGAACUAAAAGUAUUGUGUCGCUUAUCACAUCCAGAACAGAGCCUUUAUGAUUGCUGCUGCUUCCCAUUGCAUCCGCCUGCGCGGUUUUGACACGAGAAAGGUGAAUUAAAGACGGUUUCGCUCCUGCCUGCCUUGAGCUGAGGGACGAUUUUCAACCUCCACAACAUGGAAAAGAGGAAAAAGUUGAAGUGUUUCGGUUAGUCUGUCUUGCCAGGGCUUUGGUAAAAAAAAAUACCUGAAUUAAAAUUGGCAGUGGGAAUAGGCAGGGAAUUGAGAAAGGCAGAGAGAACGAGAGAGAGAAAGAAAGAAAGAAAACAAAGAUAGCAACGGAAUAAAACUUUAAAACCAUCCUUAGAGAAAUAAUUUAAGUAAAUACGGUUCCUUUAUUUUGUGUAGGGAUAAUUUCAGUCGAGUCUAAGAGCCUUUUCAAGUAAUUAUUGUUGUUGGAGUACUUGCAGUGGUAUAAUUAAGACUUUUUCCCCCCUAAAAGACAAGUUAACAUUUUAUUUUUCUCAACACUUUUAUUGUCGAUUGAGCAGAGUUUGGUUUCAUCUUUGGACAUAAAACCCCAGAAAUGGUGCUCAGAAGUAAAUAGAGCUUCGCAGCCUGGCGUGGGGAUGCUCGAUGCUAGAAUUUUCAAGAAAGCAAAAAAAAACCAAAAAAAAUCUGAAUCGAGUAUUUUUAGAAAAGCAGCUAUCUUCCUCUGUGUGUAUUUGCAGGCGUGCUUCCACCUACUGAAGUCUGUAAAGUAAAAAAUAGCAGGAAUUCCCGUUCGUACAUGGACCCCAGGAAGGCGGGAGUGAAGUUGUUCUUGGAAGUUAACAUUUUUAUCAAGUGCAGUAGAAUUUUAUGGUCAUGAUGUGAUGGUAACUCACCAAUGCACCAGAAAUCAAUGGCUGAUCUUAAAUCAUUCAUAUACUGUACUCGGAUUCCUGAUGAAAGGAAAAUGUUUCUAUUAUAAGAAAAAACAAGUGGGGAUGUGUGUGUGUGCGUGUGUGUGUCUGGGAGAGAGAAGAUAAUUUAUAAAUACCCAGUGGAGGAAAGAUUUAUUGGGAAUUCACAAGGAAAAAAAAAAAAAAAGAACCCCAAAUCCUUUCUUAGGUAAACCUUAACUUUUCACUACUCUGCAUUUUACUGAGCGCACAAGGGCAAGAUAUUUCUUUAUUUUCCCCAUCUAUUUCUGUUUACGUUUGUAUGUCAUUUAAUAGCAUUUAAACAGUCUUGAGAUGCUUAAACUUUGCUUUUUAAAACAACAUGUCGCAUCCCGUUCUGUCGUGAGCGUCGGUUUAAUUUGUUACGUUCUCCCCCAGAAUGUUGCUUACGGGAGAACGGGCGUAUUUUCUGGUGGGACUUGGGAGAAAAAUUUAUUCAGAAAAAUAUCUGUUUAUAACAAUUUGGAAGAAAACCUAUAUUGAAAUUAUUGCCACCGUUGCUUUCUAUGUUAUUUGUAGCUGAAUUUGUAGCUGAAGGACUGAAACUAUUCAGACUGUUUUUCUCUUGUAAUUUUUAAGAAACAAAGGCCAAAACAAAAGCGGACUAACGGAGUUAAAAGUUUAAAUUUUUGCUGCCGCUGCGUCAGUGGCGUAUUUGUACGUAUCACAAAACGUGGUAAAUUAAGAGCUUUUUGGAUUAUUUUACUAUUUCGUAGCAUUUAAAAAUAUUUCCAAACAUGUUAAGUGAAGACUUUGGGCAAAGAGCAGCAGCAUUACCAAAAGACAGAGCAACUAUACCAAAAAUGACCGAUUCGGCUCCUAAAAAGUAUAUACUGUUUGGUUUUUUUCCCCGCGAUGGUUAUCAAUCUAAAACAUAAAAAAUAAAGAGCCGAGACAGCGCAGAUCAUCCUGACGGCUGAGAUGAAGAGUCAGGGAAAAAUAUCCUGGGUUUGGGUGCGCUUUUCUCCCCGAAAUCUUGGAGCCACUCUCUUCUCCAGCCCUGCAAACGUAAAUCUUUGCUUUGGAGAUAAUUAAGCUGUCCUCCCACCUCCACCCCAACCAGCAGAAGACAAAAAACGAUGGGUUUGUGUUUUUUCUCCCCUUUUAAAUGAACAUUUCAAAUAGAUGCGUGUCCCACCUCUCACCGCAUCCCAACACAGAGCCUCCACAU